CUUCACCGAGCCGACCCACAACGGCCGUUCCUCCGGGCGCCCUUGCCCGUACGUCGCCAGCAGUGCCUGGGCCUC
rnacentral:antisense_RNA from 1 species